rnacentral:lncRNA from 1 species
UUGAGACAGAGUCUCACUCUGUUGCCCAGCCUGGGGUGCAGUGGCGCGAUCUCGGCUCACUGCAAGCUCCCCCUCCUGGGUUCACACCAUUCUCCUGCCUCAGCCUCCCGAGUAGCUGGGACUACAGGCGCCCGCCACCACGCCCGGCUAAUUUUUUUGUAUUUUUAGUACAGACAGAGUUUCACCAUGUUAGCCCGGAUGGUUUCCAUUUCCUGACCUCGUGAUCCGCCCACCUCGGCUUCCAGAGCAUUUUUCGAGGAUCCCUCUGGCAGCUCACUGGAGUCAGGGUGGGAGCUGGAAGACUGGCUGGGGGUCAUGGGGGUUGCCCAGAGAGGUAUGGUGCCCAGGCUGGGUGGUGGCUGUGCAGGCUGUGAGCAGAGGGACUGAUGAGGUUUGAGGUGAGCUGGGGGGUGAGGUGGGGGGUCGGGGGGUCGUACAGGGCAACUGUGGAUUUCAGCUUGGGCAGCUAGGCGGGUGGAUGAGCUUGGAGUGAGACUGGUCUCGGUUUUGGCCAUGUGGAGUUGGACAUCUGAGGGUGAACUGAGUGAGGAGAUUGGUGUGCAAGGGUCUGGAGUUGUGAGUGAUGCUUCUGGCCUGAGGGAAAGGGAAUGGGGUGAAUGGAAUAGCAGCCAGCCUUGAGCCUGGAGUGAGAAGCAGAGACCAGGCUGGCCAGGGUCUGAGGGCUUCCUGCGGACGCCACGCAGGUGAGCACAGCUGCCCGUGGGGCAGUGCACCUCCUGUGGCAGCUGGCUUUGUGCCGCAUCUGCAGUGGUGGGGGAUGGGGUUACCACCAUGGACCGGGAUCUGGCCCUAUACAGCUCCCCGUCUGUCAGUCUCCCCAUGCCACAGCACCCCCAGCUCCACAGCAAAGGUCUGGACACCUCAACGCCUCCCUUCUGGUCCUCCCAUGGUGUACAAGAUCAAGGCAGAGCCUUGGCAGGAGUCUACAGCCUUUGGGUGUGGGCUCCUGCUCCGCCCCGCCUCUGCUGGUCCCCACCUGCUCCUGUACCCAGGGCUGGGUGCCCAGCAGGAGCAGCAGGAGUCCCUGGGGUCCACCCCACCCGGCCCCUACCACCUCCCCUCCCCUCCAUCCACAGGACACACUGGUAGCAAAGAAGUAUAACUUAAGAGGCACUUGGAUAAGAAUUAAAUGCCCAGAAGGUGCAUUCCAAAGUCCCACGGAGUUGGAGUAGCGGGGCACGGUGACCUGGAGGAAAGUGAAGACCCAGCUGGGCUUGGGCCAAGCGGGGAAGGAAGGAGGUGUUGGCAGCCCUGCACGCGCACAGGCUCAGGGUAGAAUGGGCUACCCACUCUCUCUGGCCAGCAAGGCCCCUGGACCCCCUGGGCACUCAGCUUUUGGGCCUGGCCACAGGACAGCACCAGCCACUGCCUCAAUGCUCAGAGAAACUGAGGCAGAGACACGUGGGAGGGGGCAGGUCAGGCCCCAGGGAUCCUACAGUGAUGACCUCACCUGCUUUAGACACCCAGCCUAGGUGGGGACUAAAAGGGCAUAAGGCCCAAUGCCUGCAGAAGACCUGAGGCCAGGCCCCUGCAGUGCGGCUGAGGCUGUUCCUGAACUAUGCUCACCUGCCUAAAACCUCACCACGGGUCCCCAUAAGCCAGCCUCUGGAAACCUCCACCACCUUUCCUGAGGGGGGAAGGGCCACCUCCCACUCCAGGUUUUUCUGUGGCCCCAGGUGGCACUGCCCACCCCACCCUGCAUGCAGGCGUCUGCACCAGGUGCCCCACCCCUGCUGUAGCACCCAGGUCCUCCCUGCCUCCUUUAGGGAGACCUUGAGGGAACAACCCCAGCCCCCUGGGUCUCCCCAGUUCUCCAACAACCCUGCUGGUGGCUGCACCCAG